GCGCGGGUGGCGAAAUUGGUAGACGCACCAGGUUUAGGUCCUGAUGGUGGCGACACCGUGGGGGUUCGAGUCCCCCCCCGCGCA
rnacentral:tRNA from 1 species